rnacentral:rRNA from 1 species
CCAGCACCCGCGGUAAUUCCAGCUCCAAUAGCGUAUAUUAAAGUUGUUGCAGUUAAAAAGCUCGUAGUUGGAUUUGUGGUUGAGGUGUCCGGUCCGACACAUUUUGUGUGUGGGUACUUGGACGGCUCGUCCAUCCUUGGGUGGAAUCUGUGUGGCAUUAGGUUGUCGUGCAGGGGAUGCCCAUCUUUUACUGUGAAAAAAUUAGAGUGUUCAAAGCAGGCUUAUGCCGUUGAAUAUAUUAGCAUGGAAUAAUGAGAUAGGACCUUGGUACUAUUUUGUUGGUUUGCGCACCGAGGUAAUGAUUAAUAGGGACAGUUGGGGGUAUUCGUAUUCCAUUGUCAGAGGUGAAAUUCUUGGAUUUUUGGAAGACGAACUACUGCGAAAGCAUUUACCAAGGAUGUUUUCAUUAAUCAAGAACGAAAGU